rnacentral:ncRNA from 1 species
AUAUGUUUAUUGGUUUAGUGAAAGUCAAAAAGUUUUAUUUUGGCUUAAAAAUUAAGUUAAAUUUUAUUUUAGAUGCAAAUUUUAGUGAUAGGAUUGAUUUAGAGAGUUUAUUUUUUAAUUUUUUUUGCAGUAAAGAAAUUUGAAGAUCAAUGUAAAUUGGAUUUGGGAAUAAUUUAGAAUAUUAACAAAAUUUGUGCCAGCAGUUGCGGUUAUACAGAUAAUAUGAUUUAAUUUUGUUUGGAUUAUAGUUAAAUACUAAAUUUUAGUUUGAUAUUAGAAAUUAUUAGGUGGAAUUAGUAAUUUCUAAAGUAAACUGUUAUUUGAUUUUGAGGCUGGGAAAUUUAAUAUUUAAACUAGGAUUAGAUACCCUAUUAUUUUGAACGUGAAGUUGUUUCUUGAUUAGUAUUAGAUAUGUACUUGAAAAUUAAAAAUUUUGGCGGUAUUUUAGUCUGUUCAGAGGAACCUGUCCUGUAAAUGAUGAUCCACGAGUUGAGUAACCUUUUCUUUUAGUUUAUAUAUCGUCGUAGUUUGAAAAUUUUAUAAGAAUAAUAAUUUUCAUGAUUUUUUUGGAAAGGAUUUCAGAUCAAGGUGUAGCUUAUGAGGAGGUAAGCGAUGGGUUACAAUAAAUUUAUUUGAGGAUUUUGUUUUUUAAAAAUAGAUGAAUUUGGAUUUGACAGUAAUGUUAACAAGAUUGUUAUUAUGAUUUAAGCUCUAAAAUAUGCACAUAUCGCCCGUCGCUUUCACUUUAAAGUGAAAUAAGUCGUAACAAAGUAGGCCUACUGGAAAGUGGGCCUGGAAAGG